GAUUGCAAGUUUACCCUCUCUGUAAUCGCGGCUG
rfam:Dysgonomonas gadei ATCC BAA-286 genomic scaffold supercont1.7, whole genome shotgun sequence.